rnacentral:rRNA from 1 species
CCUACGGGAGGCUGCAGUGGGGAAUAUUGCACAAUGGGGGAAACCCUGAUGCAGCAACGCCGCGUGGGUGAAGAAGUAUUUCGGUAUGUAAAGCCCUAUCAGCAGGGAAGAGAAUGACGGUACCUGACUAAGAAGCCCCAGCUAACUACGUGCCAGCAGCCGCGGUAAUACGUAGGGGACACGCGUUAUCCGGAUUUACUGGGUGUAAAGGGAGCGUAGACGGUUGUGCAAGUCAGAAGUGAAAGCCCGCGGCUCAACUGCGGAACGGCUGUGGAAACUGUGUAACUGGAGUGCUGGAGAGGUAGGCGGAAUUCAUGGUGUAGCGGUGAAAUGCGUAGAGAUCAGGAGGAACACCGACGGCGAAGGCGGGUGACUGGAGAGUAACUGACGUUGAGGCUCGAAAGCGUGGGGAGCAAACAGGAUUAGAUACCCGAGUAGUC